CAUAUAGCUGUCAUAUAAAGUUAGAGAUGAAAAAACUGCAACCAACUUCAAACUGCUGUCAUUUCUAAGCCACUCGUCCGACAGCUGUUAAAAUUAUUCCAGUGACAGCUCAUUAUAUUGUUUACAAGCAUACAAAAGCAUUUUUGUGUGAUUUCUUUAUAUUUGACUGGAAAACCACAAGUGGCUAUCGUCAGAGAGCACUCCAGCAUUUAAAUGUGAAUAAAUCUUUUGUGUCUCGUACCAUCGCUCGUUACCAUGAUACUGGUAGCGUAGCCCGACGUCAAUGAAGUGGACGGAAGAAAACAGCAACAUCAGCAGAAAUGGUUCGAAAAGUCAAGAAGCAACUUGAUCGAAAACCGCGUUGCAGUGGCCGAAAAAUGGCUCGUUAGCUGAACAUAUCGCAAUAUUCCAUUCGGCAAAUAUUGAAAAAUGAGCUCGGUGUAAAGCCAUUGAAAUUCCAAAAA